UAGAACUGUAGGGACGCAUGUGGAAAGCACGGGCCGGGAAUGGAAAGACCGGUACAAGCGGGGUAGGUGUACAAUAGGCAAAUCCGUUGUAUAAUCCGAAGACGUGAUGUGGAGCGAAAUAAAGUAGCAAAGCGUGUGAGCCAUGUGCCGAGAAAAGCUGCUAUUGUGUAAUGCGUGCCCGUACCGUAAACCGACACAGGUGGAUGAGGAGAGAAUCCUAAGGCCGACGGAAGAAGCAUUGUUAAGGAAUUCGGCAAAAUGACCCCGUAACUUCGGGAGAAGGGGUGCCUGCGAGAGCAGGCCGCAGAGAAUAGGCUCAAGCAACUGUUUAGCAAAAACACAGGUCUAUGCGAAACCGAAAGGUGAAGUAUAUGGGCUGACGCCUGCCCGGUGCUGGAAGGUUAAGAGGAGAGGUUAGCGUAAGCGAAGCUUUGAAUUUAAGCCCCAGUAAACGGCGGCCGUAACUAUAACGGUCCUAAGGUAGCGAAAUUCCUUGUCGGGUAAGUUCCGACCCGCACGAAAGGCGUAAUGAUUUGAGCACUGUCUCGACAAAGCAUCCGGUGAAAUUGAAGUACCAGUGAAGAUGCUGGUUACCCGCGCCAGGACGGAAAGACCCCAUGGAGCUUUACUCCAGUUUGAUACUGGGAUUCGGUACUGCAUGUACAGGAUAGGUGGGAGACGAAGAAGGAUGGACGCCAGUCUGUCCGGAGUCGCUGUUGGGAUACACCCCCUGUAGUACUGGGUUUCUAACCAGUUGCCAUGAACUGGCAAUGGGACAAUGUCAGGCGGGGAGUUUGACUGGGGCGGUCGCCUCCGAAAGAGUAUCGGAGGCGCUCAAAGGUUCCCUCAGAAUGGUUGGAAACCAUUUGAAGAGUGCAAAGGCAGAAGGGAGCUUGACUGCGACACCGACGGGUGGAGCAGGUACGAAAGUAGGACUUAGUGAUCCGGUGGUAUAAAGUGGGAUUGCCAUCGCUCAACGGAUAAAAGCUACCCUGGGAUAACAGGCUUAUCACUCCCAAGAGUUCACAUCGACGGAGUGGUUUGGCACCUCGAUGUCGGCUCAUCGCAUCCUGGGGCUGUAGCAGGUCCCAAGGGUUGGGCUGUUCGCCCAUUAAAGCGGUACGCGAGCUGGGUUCAGAACGUCGUGAGACAGUUCGGUCCCUAUCCGGCGCGGGCGGAGGAUAUUUGAGAGGAGCUGUCCUUAGUACGAGAGGACCGGGAUGGACGGACCACUGGUGUAUCUGUUGUCGACCAACGGCAUGGCAGAGUAGCCAAGUCUGGAAGGGAUAAACGCUGAAGGCAUCUAAGCGUGAAGCCCCCCUCAAGAUGAGAUAUCCCUCCUUCGGGAGUAAGACCCCUUGAAGACUACAAGGUAGAUAGGGCAGAGGUGGAAGCAUGGCAACAUGUGGAGCUGACUGUUACUAAUAGGUCGAGGGCUUAAU
rnacentral:rRNA from 1 species